rnacentral:rRNA from 1 species
CGGGGUCCAUCCGGUGGCAACACCGGUGAAGACCUAGCGGCGAACGGGUGAGUAACACGUGAGCAACCUGCCCCCAAGUCUGGGAUAAGCCUGGGAAACUGGGUCUAACACCGGAUGCCCUCAUCGGACCGCAUGGCCUGAUGAGGAAAGUUUACGCUUGGGGAGGGGCUCGCGGCCUAUCAGCUUGUUGGUGGGGUAACGGCCUACCAAGGCAUCGACGGGUAGCUGGUCUGAGAGGACGACCAGCCACACUGGGACUGAGACACGGCCCAGACUCCUACGGGAGGCAGCAGUGAGGAAUUUUGCGCAAUGGCCGCAAGGCUGACGCAGCAACGCCGCGUGGGUGAAGAAGGCCUUCGGG